AGAAAGAUAAGCUAAUAAAGCUAUUAGGUUCAUACCCUAAAUAUAGAGAUAAAAUUCUCUUCUUUUUA
rnacentral:tRNA from 1 species